rnacentral:lncRNA from 1 species
AGCCUGAUCACAUCCGGAACCUCACUCUUGUACAGAUCCAAGAGACCUCUGUCACCUUGUCUUGGAGGCCACCCCCAGGUGGAAUUGACAUCUACCGGCUGUGCGUGUACAACAGCUCCCUUCAAAUUUCAUGCGUAAAUAUCACCUCAACCAUCCACACUAUCAAGGAUCUGGUAGCAGGUGGGGAACACACCGUUGAGGUCAGUGCCGAGGUGGCCGACAUGUCGAUUCCUGGUCGGCGCUUCAACAAAACUUUCUUCACUAAACCAAAUACAGUGAAGGAGCUUAAUGUUACAAAACAUUUCACCACUGGCUUCACGGUGGUUUGGAAACGACCAGAUGGUGAUGCCUCUUCUUACCGCGUCCUUGUGAACAGUCUUAAUGGAUCUAUGGUUUCUAAUGAAAGCACUCCCGACACUACAUAUAAUGUCGAAGGAGUCAUGUCUGGCUCUAAGUUCCUCAUUAGUGUGGUGGCACAAGUACAAAACAAAUCCCUGGAGGGAAAACCUCAAACCACUCACGGUUUCACAGGUAGGCCAUUUUUCAUUGAAUGGUAACUAUCCAUUGAAAAUCGUACAGAUAAAAAAAAAAAGAAUUCCUCACUCAGUCUUUCUCUAAGACAGACAUGAAGUCAUGCUGUCCAUGCUUUUUACAGCCAUUCAAAUUCCCCAGGUGGGAGAUGCAUAAAUGAUGGUAACUCUUCUAAACAAGGAUGCCUCUCUCUUCCUCUAUAUUUGCAGUUCCUAACCCUGUCAGUGACCUGAAAUUAAAUGCAACAGCUAACACCAUUAACGCUGUGUGGAAAAAACCAGAAGGGGAUUACUUGAACAUCAGUGUGACACUCUAUGAUCCUGACGGCAACAAGGUUGAAAAUAAAAUGACACCAAAUGCUUCCUAUGUUUUCACUGACCUGAAAGCAGGAGCAAAUUACACAGUGCAGGUCUACGUGCUUGGAGUCGGCAGCUAUACAAGUAUAAGCAAACAAAACUCCAACUUUACCUUGCCAAAUAAACCAAGGAAUCUCGAAGUCAUUUCAACAAAUAAGACCUGGAUCUCCCUGAAAUGGGAUGUACCAGACAAAUCAGAGGGUGUGACGAUACUCUACAAUGUGAGCUACAAGACUAAGUUUUGGGGGGAAUCAAUGACUGUCCCCAAUGUCAAAGCCACCAAUGUCACACUGGAAAACUUAAGGCCUGGAACAACAUAUGACUUUACUGUCAAUGUAUUUGCUGGAAACCGGUCCAGUGAAGGUGUUUCAGUCUCAGGCAAGACAGGUAGAUACUGCUCUUUGUGCAACAGGUGCACCUGUACUGUAAGA